rnacentral:rRNA from 1 species
CCUACGGGGUGCAGCAGUAGGGAAUAUUGCUCAAUGGGGGAAACCCUGAAGCAGCAACGCCGCGUGGAGGAUGAAGGUUUUCGGAUUGUAAACUCCUUUUGUUAGAGAAGAUAAUGACGGUAUCUAACGAAUAAGCACCGGCUAACUCCGUGCCAGCAGCCGCGGUAAUACGGAGGGUGCAAGCGUUACUCGGAAUCACUGGGCGGAAAGAGCGCGUAGGCGGGAUAGCAAGUCAGAUGUGAAAUCCUAUGGCUUAACCAUAGAACUGCAUUUGAAACUGUUAUUCUAGAGUAUGGGAGAGGUAGGUGGAAUUCUUGGUGUAGGGGUAAAAUCCGUAGAGAUCAAGAGGAGUACUCAUUGCGAAGGCGACCUGCUAGAACAUAACUGACGCUGAUGCGCGAAAGCGUGGGGAGCAAACAGGAUUAGAUACCCUUGUAGUC